rnacentral:lncRNA from 1 species
CUCAUUUCCUCCUAGUGGCCUCCCCUGCACAAGGCCACAUAAACCCAACCUUACAAUUUGCCAAGCAUCUUAUACGUAUUGGCGUACGUGUAACUUUCAUCACCUGCAUCUCCGCUCGCAGCCGCAUGACCAAAGUCCCCACUGCUCAAGGCCUAACGUUUUUACCCUUUUCCGAUGGCUACGACGACGGUUUUCAACUCCGCGAUGACAUCGACCAUUACCUAUCUGAAUUGAGGCGACGAGGCAAAGAAGCUAUCUCCGAGUUUUUAACAAGCAGUGAAAACGAAGGCAAACCCGUCACUUGCAUUGUCUACAGCCUGUUCAACCAUUGGGCCACGGAGGUGGCGCGUAAACAUCACAUCCCGACAACUUUACUUUGGAUUCAACCCGCCACCGUUUUUGACAUCUAUUAUUUUUACUUCAACGGAUACGAAUCCACCAUUAAAGCUCAAGCUGAUGAAACAAACCCCAAGCGUUCAAUAAAAUUACCAGGUCUGCCGCUACUCGCUACCCGCGACCUUCCGUCGUUCGUAACCGCUUCAAACGUUUACCGUUGGGGACCGUCGUUGAUCCAAGAACAAAUGGACAUCCUCGCUGAUGAAUCCAACCCCAAAAUCCUUGUUAACACCUUCGAUGCUUUGGAACAAGAAGCAUUAAACGCCAUUGAAAAUUUCAACAUGAUCGGCAUCGGACCUUUAAUCCCAUCUUCUUUCUUGAACUCAAGUGACUCCUUGGAUAAUUCCUUGAGAACCGAUCUUUUUCAACCCGAUUCAAAAGAUUACCUCCAAUGGUUAGACUCCAAACCAAAAUCGGCUGUCGUUUACGUUUCCUUCGGGAGCAUUACGGUGUUAACGAAGCAACAAGUGGAGGAAAUCGCUCGAGCUUUAAUAUCCAGCCGGCGACCUUUUUUAUGGGUGGUGAGGAACCGGAAAGAUGGAGGCGAAGAAGAGAAAGAAGAAGAUAAACUGACUUGCAGGGAAGAAUUGGAACAGGUUGGGAUGGUGGUUCCAUGGUGUUCGCAAGUGGAAGUAUUGUCUCAUCCGUCGUUGGGUUGCUUCGUGACGCAUUGUGGGUGGAACUCGACGUUGGAGAGCAUGGUGGCCGGUGUACCGGUGGUGGCUUUCCCUCAAUGGACGGAUCAAGGGACUAAUGCGAAGCUGAUUGAAGAUGUGUGGGGGAAUGGAGUGAGAGUGAGUGCUAAUGAAGAAGGGAUGCUGGAACGUGAUGAGAUCGUUAGGUGCUUGGAUUUGGUGAUGGGGGAUGAUGAGAAAGGGAUGGAAGUGAAGAAAAAUGUAGAGAAAUGGAAAGGGUUAGCCAGGGAAGCCUCCAUGGAAGGCGGCUCCAUGGAUAUGAAGCUUAAAGCUUUUGUGGAUGAUGUUGCUCAAGGUGGUUGUAACUAAAUUUAUCAUUUUCAAAUAAAUUUACUGUUAUAAUAGCAGCUAUAAAGAUUGUAACUUCUUUAAUUUCUAAGUUUAUUUCUUUUUCCUUUCCAUCAUCUUUUAAAAAAUAUAUGUAAGAUUGAAAUGCCCAAACAAAAACUCCUGUUUUAAGGACCCAAGAAGAGCUGGUCUGUUUAGGCUGUGUUAUUUAUUACUAAGAUGAGUUUUUGCAUGUAAAAGUAUUUUUUUCUCAAAAAUAAUAAAGAUUAGACAUUAUUCCAGAAAAAUUUUUAACUUAAAAAAAGUACCUUUUGGCUGAUGGAUAAAUUAAAAAUUUUAACUUUUCUACCUGCUUUUAGCUUCUAUUUAUAUUUUUAACCUUUUUUUUCUCCCAAAACUUUUAGUAUUUAUAUUUGAUAUACAAAUAUUAUUCCUUUUUAAAUCUUUAAUCUAAAUAUAUGUAAUAUUUUAAUUUGUUAGGUUUAUAUUUUCUAUGUUAUCUUAAUAUCUAAUAAGAGUUAUAUAUUAAAAUACAUUUUAAAAUAAAAUAAUACAAAUGUGUUAAAAGCAUUAAUUAAAAAUAAAAAAUAAUUUUUAAAAUAAUACAAUUGUGUCAAUAUCUAAUUACAAAUAUUUAAUUAUUAUAUUUAAAUAUUUAAAUAUAGUUUAUAUAUUCUAAUUAAAUUUAAUAAAUAAUUAAUAUUAAUUACUUAGAAAAAUUUAAAAUUAAUAUUAUAUAUUAAAAUAUUAACAAUAAGUUAUAAUAAUUUAUUUUUAUAAUUUUGCUAAAAUAUCAUAAUAUUAACUAAUUUGAACAUUAUUUAAAUACAUAUUUGUUACUUUAUAAUAUCAUGUCUAAAAUGGACAUUUUAUUUCUCAAAAGCACUUUUUGACAGCAAUAUCAAACACUCAAAUUUUAAAAAAGUAUUUUUCAAAAGUACUUUUCCACAACACUUUUCAAAAGCAAUGAAGAACUGGCCCUUAGUUUUUGAGCCCCAUCUAUCUAUCUCAAUCUCAAUCAAUGCUUUCCUUUCUUGCCUCAAGCACUCACUCGUUUCAUGUCCUAUCCUCGUCUUCCCUUUCUUAACUUUAUGAUCUCAAAAAAAAAAACCCAAAGUUUGAAUUUCGUCUAUGAACUUCCUAAGCAGAAUCAGGAUAUCUGAUUAAACAUGGAUGCUUCCAUUAUCAUAUGGAUUAAGGGUGCCAGUCGGUCUUAUUAUGCCCCUAAUCCAACUUUCACCAUUCGAUAUAUGAUUAUAACCUAUACAACAACAGUCAAAUGUGUUGUUGUCGUACCUCUGUCCCUUCAAAAUUAUCUUUAUUUGCUAUUCAUGUCUUCAUUUGAAUUGAUUUGUUUAUGGUUAUACAUUGCCGAAUUUGAUUUGUAUAUGGAUAUACAUUGCUGAAUUAAUUUAUAUAUGGUUAUACAUUACCAAAUUUGAUUUGUAUAUAUAUACAUUGACAAAUUUGAUUCGUAUAUGGAUAUAUAUCACCGAAUUGAUUUGAGCUUUGGAUUACUAGUUUUGUGCAUGAAUUGAUUUAAUUACGAAGUCGAAAGCUCCGAAUGAACCUUAGUAAAUGUAUUGGAUAUUGAUGUCAUGAUAUUAGGACUUUCGAGGUGUGAUUUCGCGUAAGACCAUGUCUGGGAUAUUGGCAUCGAAGUAAGAAAACGUGUAAGACCAUGUCUGGGACAGUGGAAUUGAUAUGUGUUAACAUAUAAGACCAUAUCCGAGAUAUGGUAUUGUACGAGUUUUAUAUGAUUUUCGUAUGAUCUUAACUAUUUCGAAUGUGAAUUUGAGUUGAAUGAUUCAGGUAUGUGUGAAGUUAUAUGUUCAUGCAAUAUUAAGGUAAGUUUAGCACUUAAUGUGAUAAUUUGCAAUUAUAUGAGUUAGUUAAAUGUUUAUGUGUUUGAGAUUUAUUUGAAUUCGACCUAGUUGAAUUGAAUUAUAAAUAUCAUUGAGAUGAUUGAGUAAGAGGUUAGUACGAGAUGAUACAGGUACGUACAGAACCUAUUCGAGUAUUUAAUAGAGAAAUAUAAUGAAAUGGUAUUUGAUCAUGUUUUAAGACAUUGAGAAAGGUUUGUUGUAAUUGUAUAUAUGGUGAUGUUAUGUACAAUUAGUUGAAUUGUAUGUAUUUGAUGUAUUGAAUUAUUCAUUUACGAACUUACUAAGCUAUGAAGCUUACUUCGUGUUAUUUUCUUAUGUUUUAUAGAGAAUCAAGGCUAGCUCGGAUUCAAAAGUCGUCGGGAACAUCAUCGCGCUAUCGAACAUCUAAGUUGGUACUUUUGAAUUGUAUAUAUAUGAUAUAUGAGAUGUACAGGCUAGUGUUAUUUUGGUAUGUUUUGAGUUAUGAUAUUAGCCAUGAGAUUUGGCUUUUAAAGGUUGGUGUGUAUUUGACCAUAUGAAUUGGUUGUUUAAGUGUUGAGAAAAUGCAUAUUUGAACCUAAGAUGAAUUUAUGGUUAUAGUAAGUUAAAUUGACAUACUUUUGAGUUAAUUUGGUACUAAAAUUGAAAUGAAAUGAACGAAGUUUAUUAGUUAACUUUUAUAUAGUAUUAUGGAUGUUGUUGAUCAAUUUGAUAAGUAAAUGUUUUAGGCAUGAUUUAAAUAUGUUUAAAUGUGAAAAUGUGUUGGUUUCCAUAUUGAUUGUAAAUUGGUUGCAGUUUAAAUUACAGGGAAUGUUAGAUAUUUAUAAAGAAGUUAUAUUGAGUUCGCAAAAAAAAAAAAUCUCCGAGUUUCCGAAUUAGUCCCGAGUCAUUCUUAACUCGUAUUAUGGACCUUGAGGGUUUAUCUAAGGGACUUUAAGAUUAUUUUAUAUUAUAUUUGAUAAUUAUUUGUAUAUUAAUUGUAAAUUGUCCGAUAGGUCUAGUAAUGCUCCAUAAUCCUAUUCCGGUGACGAACAUGGGUUAGGGGUGUUAUAAUAAGCAAUUUUUGGUGAAAGUUAUAGUGAAAGUUAUCAUAUUGAUGGUUAGGUGUGAUUGACCACAGUGUUAUAAUUAUUAUAGUACAAAGAAAAGUUAACUGAGUUGAUUAGGGUGUGAGGUGAAUAAAUUAAUUCUUCGAAAUUUUAAUAGCAAGAACGGAAGAAUAUUUAAAAAAAAUUAAUUUGUUAUUUGAUUUAACAUAUAGAGACUAAUUUAUCUAUUUUUUAGUAUAGCUAGAGAAUAAAAUGCAAUCUGACAUCUAAUACAAUGACCUCAAUAAUACUUUUACCUACAGUUGAUAAAUUUAUAACUAUAAUCGUAAAUUUUCAGUUUUGGUUCUUCUAUUAUGGUUACGUUUAAGAUUUAAUUUUUUAAAGUAAGAUUUAAUCUUUAUAAUUAAAUUUGGCAUAAUUUGAUUGUCUAUUUUUACAAUGAUAUUAGGUAGUCGAAAUAAUUAACAUAUUUUUUAACUAUUCUAAUUAAUUUUUUAAUUUUUUUAAAAAAUACUAUUCUAUAAAAAAAUUACUUUUACAUAAUGAAUCGGAAUAAAUGUUAUUAAAAAUAUUCACAUCAACUACUAAAAAUAUUAAGGGUGCUAAUUAUUUGGGUUAACUAAUGAUACGACCUUUUUUUCCCGACAUUAUAAGAUAAUGAUAAAAUUAUAGUUUUUAUCUCUCUAUUCUGCUCACAUUUGAGAUUUAAUAUUUAUAUUUUAAUUUGACAUCGUUUGAUCCUCUACUUUUAUAAUGACAUUAGUUAUCCUAAAUAAUUAAUAUUUUAACUAUAUCGAUUAAAAUGAUUACAUGAAUUUCUCUUAAAAACACAUUUCAAUACAAUAUAUAUAUUUCUACAAGAAGUUCGAAUGGGUAUUUUUAAGGAAAAAAUUGAUCUCAACAUUUUGACCACAAUAAUUAAAGGUAUCAACUAUUUCGACUAAUUAAUAGUAUUAUGUAGAGGGACCAAAUUAUAUAAAAUUAAAGAAUAGAUAUUAAAUUCUAUAUUUAAACAUAGUAGAGACCAUAACCAUAAUUUAAUCUAAAACAAAUUAUCUCUAACAUAAUAUAAAUAUAUUAACUAUAAAAAAUUUAAAAUUUAUUCGACCCCUAAAAAAUUAUUCUAACUUGCCUGCUACAAUUUUUAAACCUUACAUAAGAUUAUUUUCUUAAAUAGUGCAUAUUAUAAUAUAUAUGUACGACGUAUAUAUAUUUGGUUUUGCAAUUGUUUUUAACUUGGGCUUUUAAUUUGUCACAAAUAAAAUUUUUGACUUUAAUAAUAAUAAUAAUAAUAAUGGAUAAUUUAAAAUAAAAUAAAUUUAUAUUUUAAUUUAUUGUAUUGGAAUUAAUGAGAGAAAAUUUAUGGUCCUUCUAGCGCAAGAAUGUGUGUGACAACGUGUUGAAUGUUUAUCCACACAAAAUCCAAAAGGAUUCAAGGAUCUUCAACUUCGUCAGUGCCUCUCAUCACUUAUAAAAACACUUCGAUUUCCUUUCUUAGUUACUCCAACUCCGACGUUCGUAGAAAAAGACCAUGUGAACUACCUACGUGCCGCCGUCACCAUCAUGUCACAGCCUCAUUUCCUCCUAGUGACCAUCCCUGCACAAGGCCACAUAAACCCAACCUUACAAUUUGCCAAGCAUCUUAUACGUAUUGGCGUACGUGUAACUUUCAUCACCUGCAUCUCCGCUCGCCACCGCAUGACCAAAGUCCCCACUGCUCAAGGCCUAACGUUUCUACCCUUUUCCGAUGGCUACGAUGACGGUUUUCAACCCGGCGAUGACGUGGACCGUUACCUAUCUGAAUUGAGGCGACGAGGCAAAGAAGCCAUCUCCGAGUUUAUAACAAGCGGUGAAAACGAAGGCAAACCCGUCACUUGCAUUGUCUACACCCUGUUCAUCCAUUGGGCCACGGAGGUGGCGCGUAAACAUCACAUCCCGACAGCUUUACUUUGGAUUCAACCCGCCACCGUUUUUGACAUCUAUUAUUUUUACUUCAACGGAUACGAAUCCACCAUUAAAGCUCAAGCUGAUGAAACAAACCCCAAGCGUUCAAUAAAAUUACCAGGUCUGCCGCUACUCGCCACUAGCGACCUUCCGUCGUUCGUCACCGCUUCAAACGUUUACCGUUGGGGACCGUCGUUGAUCCAAGAACAAAUGGACGUCCUCGCCGAUGAAUACAACCCUAAAAUCCUUGUUAACACAUUCGAUGCUUUGGAACACGAAACAUUAAACGCCAUUGAAAAUUUCAACAUGGUCGGCAUCGGACCUUUAAUCCCAUCUUCUUUCUUGAACUCAAAUGACUCCUUGGAUAAUUCCUUGAGAACCGAUCUUUUUCAAUCCGAUUCAAAAGAUUACUUCCAAUGGUUAGACUCCAAACCAAAAUCGGCUGUCGUUUACGUUUCCUUCGGGAGCAUUGCGGUGUUAACGAAGCAACAAGUGGAGGAAAUCGCUCGAGCUUUAAUAUCCAGCCGGCAACCGUUUUUAUGGGUGGUGAGGAACCGGAAAGAUGGAGGCGAAGAAGAAGAUAAACUGACUUGCAGGGAAGAAUUGGAACAGUUUGGGAGGGUGGUUCCAUGGUGUUCGCAAGUGGAAGUAUUGUCUCAUCCGUCGUUGGGUUGCUUCGUGACGCAUUGUGGGUGGAACUCGACGUUGGAGAGCAUGGUGGCCGGUGUACCGGUGGUGGCUUUCCCUCAAUGGACGGAUCAAUGGACUAAUGCGAAGCUGAUUGAAGAUGUGUGGGGGAAUGGGGUGAGAGUGAGUGCUAAUGAAGAAGGGAUGGUGGAAUGUGAUGAGAUCGUUAGGUGCUUGGAUUUGGUGAUGGGGGAUGAUGAGAAAGGGAUGGAAGUGAAGAAAAAUGUAGAGAAAUGGAAAGGGUUAGCCAGGGAAGCCUCCAUGGAAGGCGGCUCCAUGGAUAUGAAGCUUAAAGCUUUUGUGGAUGAUGUUGCUGAAGCUGGUUGCAAGUAAAUUUAUCAUUUUCAAAUAAAUUCACUGUUAUAAUAGCAGCUAUAAAUAUUGUAACUUCUUUAAUUUCUAAGUUUAUUUCUUUUUCCUUUCCAUCAUCUUUUGUAAAAAAAAAAAAAGUAAGAUUGAAAAGCCGAAACAAAAACUCCUCUUUUUAAGGACCCAAGAGGAGCUGGUCUGUUUAGUCUUUGAGCCCCACCUGUCAAUCUCAAUCUCAAUCAAUGCCACUCACUCGUUUCAUGUCCUAUCCUCGUCUUCCCUUCAUUAAUAUCACUCCACCUUCUAACUUAAUAACUGAUACAUGAUCUCAAAAAAAAAAAGAAAAAAAAAAAACCCAAAGUUUGAAUUCGGUCUAUGAGCUUCCUAAACAAAAUCAGGAUAUGUGAUUAAGCAUGGAUGCUUCCGUUAUCAUAUGGAUUAAGGGUGCCAGUCGGGCUUAUUACGCCCCUCAUCCAACUUUCACCAUUCGAUAUAUGAUUAUAACCUAACCAACAACAGUCAAAUGUGUUGUUGUCGUACCUCUAUCCCUUCAAAAAUCUCUUUACUGUUGCUACCCAUGUCUUCUUUGAUAUAUAUGCAUAUUUUUAACCUUACUGAGCUGUGGACUUCAUUUGAAGUGUAACCAAGUUUUUGCUUUUUUUUCUUUCUUCUUCUUGUGUUUCCUGAAUUUAUAAAUUUUUUUCGAUUGGCUUCUAUUUAUGUUUUUUCAAAGAUUAAUAAUUGAAUUUAAUUAAAAAAUAAUUAAAUUGGUAAAAUAUAUAAAUGUUGAGGACAAACUUCAGUAUUAUCCCUUUUAAUACCUUUCAUCGUACUGGAGCAGGUAUUAUCGUACCAUGAAACUUGAAUAAGCCACCACACAAGUUUAUGCGCAUGUGGUUUUUUCUGGUUGUAUUCUGCUACUAGUCCUUAUACUUUAUGAAAGUGAUGGAUUUAGUCCCAAUACUUCAAUUUAAUCACUUUUAGUCCUGCACUUUUCAAAAUGUUCAAUUUUAGUCCCUAUAUUUUCAGUCUUUUGAAAUUUUCGUCCUAAACCAAAUAAUAGUAGUUCAAUUUGUUUGUUUAAAUUCAAUUACUAGCAUGUAAUUGUAGAUUUAAUAUAUAUUAUCCAUUUUCUUUGCAAAGUCUGUGAAAAACAAAACGGAUUGUUGAGAACAAUCCAAACACUAUCAAACACAGUUUAAAAAAAAAAAAAACAGAACAGCCUAACAUAUACUACUAAGCAGACAAAAACACUUUAACAACAGAUUUCCCCGUUGUAUUCUGCUGCAGAAAAUAGCAGACCAUCCCAGCAGCAUCAUCCAUUCUGCUUCAGCAGCAAAUCACCAAGCAGCUUUAAAGAAGUUUUUCCUUGACAUGCCUGUCUUUGCUAAAGUUUCCGCCAUUCCACUCUUUUUUUGAUUAGUGAUUGCAAACUGGAUUUCGGCAAUAUGUCUACAUCCAUCUUCAAUUUCCGCAAACAACUUCCUUAGCGACCAUGGACGAAGAUUUCUAUAUUUCAACUAAUUCAAUACCGUAUUCAAAUCAAGCUCUAUAAUCAAAGGAAGUUGCACCUUAUGAAACAAAUUUGAAAACAUCUCUAUUGCUACUUUUAUAGCCAUCAGUACUACCAUUUCCAAACCCUCCACUGCACAGUUACCUGAAAAAGAGCUGAAACAACCCCUUUCUCGUCCCGCAACACCCCUCCGCAGCCCGCUCUUUCAUCCAAAGAAACCCCAGCCACAUUAAAUUUCAUCCAACCGCAAGGAGGUGGUUCCCUAUCCAUAACCCGCACAUUCCCCACCCUAUUUAACCAGACUGCUCUUCCUUGGCCACCCCCACCAAUCACUCUCUGUGAAAAUACAUUCCUCAUAGACCACUCUUGCCCAUACAAACGAUCUCAAUUUUGUUUGAUAAAUUAAGUCAAGUGUUGUAGCCUUACCUUCAAACACUUUCUCAUUACGAGAAAUCCAUCCUGACCAACAUGCUGCUGAUACUGCCAGUAACCAUAAACUUUUUUGAAUGCCAGACAAAGACACUCUCCAGCAAAAGGAAAAGAAUUCCUCAAAGUUUGCUACGUCCUUCCAUCUCAACCCCCACCAGCAAAAUAUAAGCGACCAGAAUCUUUUCACAAAGGAGCAUUCAAAAAACAAGUGAUUGGUAGAUUCCGCCACUCUCUCGCACCAUGGACACCCACUAUCCGAAGAGUUGAUAAUAAUUCCUCUACUAAUAAAAAAUUCUUUCGUUGGAACACGAUUAAUCGCCAUCAUCUAUAGGAAGCUACGCUUUCUUGGUGGGACUUUCAAUUUCCAGAUUCUAUCAAACUGAAAUUCUACCGUUCCCAUCCCAUCAUAAGAUAGGAGAGACACAUUCACGACAUUAGUUGCACGCCCAGCUACAAACGAACCUGGCUCGGAUACCAAAAAUGUAGGGAAAAAAUAGUCACAGAAGACUAUUGUCAAACAACGUGUAUGCAAGGAAAAUACUAAACUAUAGAAAAUUUAAAAAGAAAGAAAAGCUGAACUCAAAAUGACUGAAGUUGCUGUAUUAUUCACACACAAAAUGAAAUAAACGUAGGCCUAUAAAUAGCCUUUACACCAUAACAAACUAACGUAAAAAUGUGCAACACUAUUGCACGAUCAUAACAAAAAAUAGAGAAAUAAGGAAAUUAACAAACUAAGCAUAGCACAGCAAAUCUAAAUUUAGAAAAACCGACUUUGAAUCAUUCUCCAACAUCGAAAAUGGUGGAGGGCUGAAUCCAGAGUAAAGUUGACGGGAUGUGAUGUUUACGCGCCACCUCCGUAGCCCAAUGAAGGAGCAAAUAGUAGACAAUGCAAGUGAUGGGUUUACCUUCGUUUUCACUACUUGUUAUAAACUCAGAGAUGGCAUCUCUGCCUCGUCUCUUGAAUUCAGACAUGUAAUUGUCUGUGUCAUUGCCGGGUUUAAUUUCGUCGUCGUAGCUAUCCGAAAAAGGUAAAAACGAUAGGCCUUCAGCAGUGGGGGACUUUGGUCAUGCGACUGAUGACGGAGAUGCUGGUGAUGAAAGUUACACGUGCGUUGAUAGGUACAAGAUGCUUGGCGAAUUGUAAAGUCGGGUUUACGUGGCCUUGUGCAGGAUAGGUCACUACGAUGAAAUGAGGCUGUGACAUGAUGGUGACGGCGGCGAGUGUUGGCGCGUAAUUCGUGAAGGAAAUUAAUGGGUUUUUAUAGUGAAGAGAGGCAUUGAUAAAAGGUGAUGUUUGAGCUGACGAAUUUCAAAGAUUCCUAAACCUUGUUGGACUUAUCUGGUGUUUUUUCAAUGCUUAGGUUGCAGCUUGAUGCAUGAUGCUGUUAGAGAGAGUUUCAUACUACACGACUCUUUGGGGUUUGAAUUUAAUUCACCAAUUACAAUUUUAGUUAAACUAAACCCCAACACUAAACACGUAAGUUCAUAUUUGGUUAAACUACCUACCAAGUUAUCCAUCUAUGCCUAAACAUUUUUUUACUCACUCAAUUUUUUAAACUUUCAAAAUGGUCAUUCAAUUCAUUGGGUUCCAUUUUUUUAUCCAUUUCCAUUAAGCAUCGUUAAAUGCCUGGUAGGGUUAAUUUUUAAAAAUUAUGACUAAAUUGAUACAAUAUGUAAAAUUUGAGGAAAAAAUUUGUUAUUAUACUAAUAUUUAAAUAGUCACUUCAACUUUUUGUCAAACACUUAAUGGAAAUGGACCAAAAAAUAAAUCUGAUUAAUUAUGUGACCAUUUUGAAAGUUUUAAAAGUUGAGUGAAAAAAAAAACUUAAACAUAUUUAAUAGUAUUAAUGUGUCGAACAAUUAAAGUAUCCACUUGUCACAAUAUUAAACCCCACGUAUGAUUGUUUUCUUGAAUAUUGUGUAUAUUAUAUAUGAUAAAAGAUUGUAUAAAAUUAUCAUUCUACGUCAUCCCUAAGAAAAUGAUAAAUUAAAUUUUGUCUCUUACAAAAUUCAAAUUCAACUAAAAAACUAAUAUAGAAUCACAGUUUCAUAUAAACUUUUCUUUUAUAAUAUAUAGGUAUAAUAUAUAUAUUCCAUUUAGCAAUUGUUUUUAACUCUGGUCUUUUAAUUUGUCACAAACAAAAAUUUUGACUUCGAUAUUAAUACUAAAAUAAUAUUUGUCCUUGUAGCGGAAGAAUGUGUGUGACAACGUGAUAAAUAUUUUUCCAAACAAAAUCCAAAAGGAAUUAGGCAUCUUCAAAUUCGUCAGCCCAAACGUCACUGUUUUUCAGUGCCUCUCAUCACUUAUAAAAACACUUUGAUUUCCUUUCUUACUUACUCCAAAUCCGACGUUCGUACAAAAAGACCAGUAGAACUACCUACGUGCCGCCGUCACCACCAUGUCACAGCCUCAUUUCCUCCUAGUGACCUUCCCUGCACAAGGCCACAUAAACCCAACCUUACAAUUUGCCAAGCAUCUUAUACGUAUUGGCGUACGUGUAACUUUCAUCACCUGCAUCUCCGCUCGCCGCCGCAUGACCAAAGUCCCCACUGCUCAAGGCCUAACGUUUUUACCCUUUUCCGAUGGCUACGACGACGGUUUUCAACCCGGCGAUGACAUAGAACAUUACCUAUCUGAAUUGAGGAGACGAGGCAAAGAAGCCAUCUCCGAGUUUAUAACAAGCAGUGAAUACGAAGGCAAACCCGUCACUUGCAUUGUCUACACCCUGUUCAUCCAUUGGGCCUCGGAGGUGGCGCGUAAACAUCACAUCCCGACAGCUUUACUUUGGAUUCAACCCGCCACCGUUUUCGACAUCUAUUAUUUUUACUUCAACGGGUACGAAUCCACCAUUAAAGCUCCAGUUGAUGAAACAAACCCAAAGCGUUCAAUAAAAUUACCAGGUCUGCCGCUACUCGCCACCCGCGACCUUCCGUCGUUCGUCACCGCUUCAAACGUUUACCGUUGGGCACUGUCGUUGUUCCAAGAACAAAUGGAUAUCCUCGCUGAUGAAUCCAACCCCAAAAUCCUUGUUAACACCUUCGAUGCUUUGGAACAAGAAGCAUUAAAUGCCAUUGAAAAUUUCAACAUGGUCGGCAUCGGACCUUUAAUCCCAUCUUCUUUCUUGAACUCAAAUGACUCCUUGGAUAAUUCCUUGAGAACCGAUCUUUUUCAAUCCGAUUCAAAAGAUUACAUCCAAUGGUUAGACUCCAAACCAAAAUCGGCCGUCGUUUACGUUUCCUUCGGGAGCAUUGCGGUGUUAACCAAGCAACAAGUGGAGGAAAUCGCUCGAGCUUUAAUAGCCAGCCGGCGACCGUUUUUAUGGGUGGUGAGGAACUGGAAAGAUGGAGUCGAAGAAGAGAAAGAAGAAGAAAAACUGACUUGGAGGGAAGAAUUGGAACGGUUUGGGAUGGUGGUUCCAUGGUGUUCGCAAGUGGAAGUAUUGUCUCAUCCGUCGUUGGGUUGUUUCGUGACGCAUUGUGGGUGGAACUCGACGUUGGAGAGCAUGGUGGCCGGUGUACCGGUGGUGGCUUUCCCUCAAUGGACGGAUCAAGGGACUAAUGCGAAGCUGAUUGAAGAUGUGUGGGGGAAUGGGGUGAGAGUGAGUGCUAAUGAAGAAGGGAUGGUGGAACGUGAUGAGAUCGUUAGGUGCUUGGAUUUGGUGAUGGGGGAUGAUGAGAAAGGGAUGGAAGUGAAGAAAAAUGUAGAGAAAUGGGAAGGGUUAGCCAGGGAAGCCUCCAUGGAAGGCGGCUCCAUGGAUAUGAACCUUAAAGCUUUCGUGGAUGAUGUUGCUCAAGGUUGUUGGAAGUAAAUUUAUCAUUUUCAAAUCAAUUCACUGUUAUAAUAGCAGCUAUAAAUAUUGUGAUAGCAACAAUAUCAAUUCACUGUUGCAAAUAAAUUUUUAAUUUGUGUUUGUAUUAAAUGUAUGCUUUAAUUAAUUUUGGUGUAACGUUUAAGUUUUUUUAAAGAUUAAUAAUUAAAUUUGGGUAAAAUCAAAAAAUUUGGUUAACCGAUUGGAUUCGGUUAAUCGGUUGGUUAAUUAAAUUUUUUCGGUGAAGAGUCGAUUAAUUAUUUUCUCAUUUUCCGGUUAACGGCUAAUUCAGUUCGAAACCGGUCGGUUAACUGAAUUGUUUUGAUUUAAUCGAAAAAUUAAUAAAUAAAAUUAUAAUAUAUAAAUAGGCUCACUAUUCACCUAAGUCCAACCCAAACCCAAGUAUCCAACCUAACCCAAUCAAAUCAUAAAAAUUACAGAUAAUUUAUGUAUUAAUUUCAAGACUUAUGUAAUGUUUUUAAUUAUGUAGUGAUUCAAUUCGGUUAAUUCGGGUAAUUCGAGUAAUUCGGUUAAUUCGGGUAAUUUGGGUAAUUCGAUUAAUUUUUAACCAAAAAUAAAAAAUAUAUGAUUUUCGGUUAAUUUGGUUAACCGACUGAAUUAACCGAAAAGUUUUUGAUUCGGUUAGUUUUUAUUUUUUUAAAAUUCGAUUCAGUUAAUAGUUAAAAAUAUUGAAAGUUCAAUUAAUUCAAUUAAUAUUUUUUCGAGUCAGUGAACUGACUGAACACCCCUAGUAGCGGAGUAGGUAUUAUCAUACGAAUGAUAAGCCACCACACAAGUUUAUGCGGAUGUGGUUUUCUUGGUUUAAUUUUGCCACAAGUCCCUAUACUUUAUAAAAGUUAUGGAUUUAGUUCCGUUAUUUCAAUUUGAUCACUUUAGUCCUGCACUUUUCAAAAUGUUCAAUUUUAGUCCCUAUACUUUUAAACUUUUGAAAUUUUCAUCCUUAACCAAAAAAUAGUAGUUAAAUUUGUUUGUUUAAUUUCAAUUCCUAGAAAUGUACUAUACAUAUAAUUGUAGAUUUAAUAUAUAUUCUCCAACUGAAUCAUUUUAAGUCCCUAUUUUUUUCGAAUUCUAAAAUUUCCGUCUCAAUACAAAUGAUAGUCACCGAUCCAUUAACUAAAAUUUUAGUAAGUAAUAUGUGAAAAUAGCCAACUAAAAUGCUAGUACACACAUGAUGAUAUGUUUAUUGCAUCAAAUUUUAAAAAUAACAGAAUUUAAUGAAUUUAACAAUUAUUGUUUAGUGAUGACUUUUAAAAUUUAGAAAGUAUGAGCAUUAAAAGUGACCAAAUUAAUGUAUAAUUAAGAAUUAGAUCCACAACUUUUGUAAAGUAAGACUAAUAAUAAAAUUUAAUCUUGUUUUUUUCUUGAAAGAAAUUAAAAGUGACCAUUUAAGUAUUAUAUGUGCUAGGGAUGGGAGAUUAAUACGAAUCGUGGGAUGGAUUUUAAAUAGUUCGAAUUUUUUUUUUGUGUGUGUGGACAAUGAGUAAUUCUUUGCCCUAUAUAAAAGUAUCAUUUUAUCCAUUUAAUAUGUAUAACUAUUUAAAUGGUGAAAUACGAAAAUGCAUUAUAGAAAAGCCUUUAUGUUUAAUUUUUUUGAAACUGUUGUGGAAAACCUUAAAUGUGGUUAAUUGCCUUGCAAACCCUCCUUAUUUAUUAUUUUCUUUUUAUUCCCCUUCAACUCACUACAUUGUGUUUCAACAAGCUCUUAACCUAUUUUUGUAGUUAAAUAGGCCCUUAACUUAUGAUUUUUACUCAUAAAAUCUCUUUGUUUUAAUACUAAAGUAAAUAUGUUUUACUCAUAUUAAAGGGCUUUUUAGUAUUUUAGCCUAGACUGUAUGUUGUUGAACCUGGCACCUGCAUUGUAGAAAUUUUUUGAUUAUUUUCAAUGCUUAAGAACCAAUGAAAACAUAGAUGGAAGGCUAAUAUACUAAAAAGUGCUUAAACUAUUACACUUUGUUUAAGUAAGCUUUUGUACUAUUUUUGUCGUUAAAUAGGCCCUCAAACUAUGAUUUUUACCCAUGAAAGUCCUAAAUUUUAAUAUUAAAGUAAAACUAUUUAAAAAAUAUAUAAAUUAAUUCGCAUUUUAUGUUGAUGUGAAUUUGAUGAGAAGAGUUUAUUAAAUAAAAAAUUAAAAAUUAAAAAUUGUUGAGAGUGCUUAUAUGCAUGACAUGCUUAAUUACUAUUCUGAAAUUGCUGAUUACUUUUUUAGAUUUUAUGUUUAUGUUAAAGUGUAUAUAAUUUUUAUUGCAUCAACAAGAAAUUAAGAUAAGAGCUUGAAAUUCAAAAUAUAUUUACUUUAAUAUUAAAAUAAAAGGCUUUUAUGAGUAAAACUCAUAGGUUAAGAGUUUAUUUAACUACAAAAUUAAGUUAAGGGCUUGUUUAAACACAACCUAGUGAGUUGAAGGGGAAUAAAAAAUAAAAUAUAUAACGAGGGUUUACAAGGCAAUUAGCCACAUCUAAGCGGCACCCUUUCACUUCUUUUUCGUAGUCACUUAAAAUGGAAAAUUUGCAUUUUAAAUCCCUAAAUACUUUAAAUUAUUACAUUUCAGUCUGAUACAAAACAGUACAGUAACAAACAUGCCAUUUUGAUGUAUGUAUAUAUAUACUCGUUUUGCUAUUGUUUUUGACUUCGACUUUUAAUUGGUCACAAAAUUUUUGGAUAAUUUUUUUUAAAAUAAUUAUUUUAGUCCUUGCAGAGCAAGACAGCGGGAUGAAUGGUUUUCCACAAAAUCCAAAAGGAAUUAGGCAUCUUCAAAUUCGUCAGCGCAAACGUCACUGUUUUUCAGUGCCUCUCAUCACUUAUAAAAACACUUCGAUUUCCUUUCUUAGUUACUCCAAAUCCGACGUUCGUAAAAAAAGACCAGGUGAACUACCUACGAGCCGCCGUCACCACCAUGUCACAGCCUCAUUUCCUCCUAGUGACCUUCCCUGCACAAGGCCACAUAAACCCAACCUUACAAUUUGCCAAGCAUCUUAUACGUAUUGGCGUACGUGUAACUUUCGUCACCUGCAUCUCGGCUUGCCGCCGCAUGACCAAAGUCCCCACUGCUCAGGGCCUAACGUUUUUACCCUUUUCCGAUGGCUACGACGACGGUUUUCAACCCGGCGAUGACAUAGAACAUUACCUAUCUGAAUUGAGGCGACGAGGCAAAGAAGCCAUCUCCGAGUUUAUAACAAGCAGUGAAAACGACGGCAAAUCCGUCACUUGCAUUGUCAACACCCUGUUCAUCCAUUGGGCCUCGGAGGUGGCGCGUAAACAUCACAUCCCGACAGCUUUACUUUGGAUUCAACCCGCCAC